GUAGGUGAACCUGCGGAAGGAUCAUUAAAAAAGGAACUACCGACUUGAUUCAAUUGUAAAAUUGAUCAUUUCGGGCACUCCUCCAUCCCACGUGUGUCUUUAUAGAAUUGUUGCUUUGGUGGGGAAAGCCACUAUUUCCUCUUACGGGGAACUUAUGGGCCAAACUUUCCCCACCAAGGGAAGUCGGAGGGGUUCCAUUUGAUUAUGGCCUCUUAAUAUUAUUGCGAGAUUUGAUAACUUUUAUUUCGACUUUUGUCGGAUGAUUGAUAAAUUAUAAAAACUUUCAACAACGGAUCUCUUGGUUCCG
rnacentral:misc_RNA from 1 species